GACGAACGCUGGCGGCGUGCUUAACACAUGCAAGUGGAGCGACGAACCUGGCUUCGGCCAGGGGCAGAGCCGCGAACGGGUGAGUAACACGUGGGUCAUCUGCCCAGUUGACAGGGACAACCCGGGGAAACCCGGGCUAAUACCUGAUGUGCCCCUCGGGGGAAAGGAAGCUUCGGCCUCCGCAACUGGAUGAGCCCGCGGCGCAUUAGCUUGUUGGUGGGGUAACGGCCUACCAAGGCGACGAUGCGUAGCUGGUCUGAGAGGACGAUCAGCCACACUGGGACUGAGACACGGCCCAGACUCCUACGGGAGGCAGCAGUGGGGAAUCUUGCGCAAUGCGCGAAAGCGUGACGCAGCAACGCCGCGUGGAGGAAGACGGCCUUCGGGUUGUAAACUCCUUUCAGUUGGGACGAAGCCUUCGCGGUGAAUAGCCGUGUGAGGUGACGGUACCUUCAGAAGAAGCCCCGGCUAACUACGUGCCAGCAGCCGCCGUAAUAC
rnacentral:rRNA from 1 species